rnacentral:lncRNA from 12 species
CCCCCCCCCCCCCCCCCCCCCCCCCCCCCCCCCCCCCCCCCCCCCCCCCCCCCCCCCCCCCCCCCCCCCCCCCCCCCCCCCCCCCCCCGCCGCGGCCGCGGCACUCGCGGCCAGCUGAGCCCCAGGAGUAAACACGGGGCUUCUCCGGCCGAGUGCGCAGUGUGGUGACCGGCACUCGCCUCGCUGACUGAUCGCACCGGAGGAAUAUUUCGGGAGACUCCUGUGGGUAAGGUCAUUUUAUCCAGGCAAAAGCCCGGCAUUGCUAAACUUGGUGGCGGGUGACUGAAAUGGGCACUUUCGGGAUUGCUGCAUUACCCUAUGGGUCCUGCUCAUUUCUGGUUGUGCUGAACCUGUUUCCCAUGUUGAUAAGCCAGGGGCUCCAGCCGCUAUUGGCAGUUGAGUGGAAUAACUGCAGUAGGUCUUCUGGAAGCAGCCACGGAAGGACAGAAGAUGAAAGCUCCUAUUCCCAACUUGAUCCUCUUGUAUGCUACUCUGACUCAGAGCUUGAAGGUUGUAACCAAAAGGGGAUCAGAUUGUGCUUUCCUCCAAGACUUGUAUUUUGAGAGAACCGCUGAGAAUAGAUUGUGUAUCCUUUAUCUGAGUCUUGAUUAUAUUUCUGGCAGUGCUUGGAAACUGAGAUAUCCACCAUGCUCCUGUUCUGAGGCUCUCUAAAACUUAAAAUCUGACAUGUGAUGAU